UACGGAGGUGGCAAGCGUUGCUCGGAAUCACUGGGCGUAAAGGGCGCGUAGGCGGGGAGGUAAGUCGGGUGUGAAAUCCCUCGGCUCAACCGAGGAACUGCGCCCUAAACUACUGUGCUCGAGGGAGGUAGAGGUGAGCGGAACUUAGGGUGGAGCGGUGAAAUGCGUUGAUAUCCUAAGGAACACCGGUGGCGAAAGCGGCUCACUGGACCUCUUCUGACGCUGAGGCACGAAGGCCAGGGGAGCAAACGGG
rnacentral:rRNA from 1 species